GACUCGUCUCAUUCAUAGACCCUUACCUCCCAAACCCUAACCCGCCGCCACCAUAUCCAUUACCCCAAACCCGGGGCCGCCACCGCCAAACCCUACCAAACUGACACCAUCCACUCUCCUCAUUCUCCUCUUUACAACCGUGCCAACCGUUUCCUUUGAAUCAUAACUCAAUUCUUCGAAUCUUGAUUAGAAAACCUCGGCCAAAAUAAAAACUAAUCCAAACCAGUUCAAAUUCAUACCCCGCAGUCCCUUGGACCUUCUCACCCCGAAUCCCAAGCCAAAAACAUUCAAAUUCGAGUGAAGCUCGGCGAAUUUCAAAUCUAGGGUUCAUAACGGUUCGAGCCUGUUUUGCGAUUUUUCAAAUGUCGAGUGAUUUCUAGUUAAUAGUAUGUGCCUAUUUAUGACGGAAUAGACAUGUAAUAUUAUCUGGAAAUAAAUUUCGAAAAGUAUUCUCGUGGAGUCCAAAAACUAGUGAGUUUUCUUAAUUUCUUCCUUUCUUUCUUGUGUGUUUGAUUAUCUGUGUUAAUCCGUUCAGUGUUAUAGGUCUGAGUUCAAGUUGCUUGAAAAUUUGAGUAAAUUUCUUCAUGAUUAAUUGAUACUGUUCUAGUUUUCAUGUAUGAUUCGAUUCUGUUAAUUGCUCGAUGUUUGUGUUUACACUCUUGAUUUUAGUUUAAUUUCAUAGUUAGCUAAAUCUGUCCAGUCGAUGUGAUUUUAGGGUGUUUGAUUGUGAAUAUUUGGUUCUAGAUUUAAUUGUUUAACUAUAGUUAAGUAGGUGGUUUGGAUGUAGCUGUUUAAUUUCUUUUAUUAGUUAACUACAGUUAAGUUUUUAACAGGGGUUAAGGGAGGGGUUCAGUUAAUUGAGGUCUGUAAUUUUAGACUGUUUAAAGGGUAAUUUAAGGAUGAAAAAUGGUAGUAUUUUGUGAAUUGGUAAUUUUAAAACAAGAAAAGGGUAGCUUAGGAAUUGUACAGCUAAAAGGGCAUCCUAGAAGCUCAUAGAAUAGGGCUUUAGUGCAUAUUUUAAUAGAACUAGAGCAGUAACUUGAGGAACAAGUUAUAAAAUUAGGGUUUAAAGUGAAAAUAAUCAGGGACUUAAAAAGUAAAAUCAAAAUCUGAACCUUUACCCUCAUUCUUGUCUAUAUAAAGGCAUCCAAUGCCUUGUGAAAGGGGUCUUGAACUUUUCAGCCAAAAAAUUCACAAGAAAUCUAAGUUUUUCUUUCCAUUUAGCAUUAAACUAGUCUGCUGCAUUCACAUAUCCAAAAAAAAUAUAUAUAUACAAAAUAGAAAAAAUCAUGGAAUUUUACUGUUUCAUUGAGGUUCAGUCAAAUGUUGAGUUAUAUAUUCCAAAAUUAUGCCUUAUAGCUUGGUUUCUAAAGGUGUUGGUUUGUUUCAAGUUUGUUGGGUUUCACUCCUGCUCGGAUUCAUAGUUCUGUGAAAUUUUUGGACUGUCACUCCAAGUUUCUGGGUUGAAAUUGUAGUUGAUAUUUGCUCUGUGAAUUGUUUGAGCUGCUGUUGAUUUUUUUUCCCUCUUGUUGAAACCCAUUUUCCAGGUAUGUAUACAAUCCUUCCUGGGAGUUGUGAGCCAGCAUGUAAAUCUGAUUUGAAGGCUAAAUAAUGAAACACUUUUGAAGUUCUUGUUUUGAGUUUCUGCUGCUACUUUACUUGAUUGAAAAUAUUCCUCAAUCUAAUUUUGAAAUGAGCUGUAUGAUUGAAACUGUCAAAUCUGAGCAAGUAAAUGUUGUGUAAUUCUUAACUGUUGCAUUGAGUUUUGAGUAUGGUUUUGAAGAAUAGACAUUCAAUGGAGUAUAUUUAAUUAGUCUAUUGAACUAACUUUGAGGUUCUUGUGGAUCUAGUAGUAUUGGAGUCGGAAUAUGCUGGCUCAAAUAAUUGAGUAAUUUGAAAAGUCAAUAACAAUGAGUUGCCAUCUGUUCAAUAGAAUGUAUUGAAAAUUGUUGUAGGUUUAAAUAUUCAAGUAGAUAUUCAUGUUUAUUUUGGGACUACAUUAAACUAUUGAUUGAUAAAGGGUGGACUGUAUCUAGGACUUCUGGAAAUGAUUUAGACUGAUAACCUUUUGGGCUGUGAAGAUUUUUGAAACUAGAAAUUCGAAUAUGUAUUUUAUCUUAGUCAGCUAUUCGUUUUAGUUAGUUAUUACAUUAUUGUUUUGUAAUCACUUCUUGGAAAAUUAGAAAAGUAACAGGAGCAAGGUAUGAAGUAGCCCAGUUUAAGAAGUGGUAAUUAUUCGAAUAUGGAUAGUGUAUGAUUAAGCAAUAAAUAGGCAUGUUGAAUUGUAGCAGGUGUUGGUUAUUAAUGGGUGAUUAUGUUGUGAAAAUCCAUGCGCUGUGGUUUGAUUGUGUCCAAUUGGACAAGCUUUAAGCAGGCCUCACGUGAGAGGCCCACUUGCUGAAGCUGAAGCCUACGAAGAGGCUAGAGCGCUAGUUUGGAUCGCCCAUUUGGGCCAAAUAAGGCCCAGUUAAACCGUGCUCUCUCAAGUAUUCGAACUCCCUACCUCCCACCUGUCCAAGUUCUUCCCAAGUGAACUCCUUGGGCCAGUCGUUGGGCCCAGUCUGAAAUUCC
rnacentral:lncRNA from 1 species